CUUGUAUCUGGUAACAAGGUGAUGGAUAAAGACACAGAUUUCAAUCUUGGCAAGGUUCAUUCCAGGACACAUGCGUGGUCCACUACCAAAUCCAAGAAAGGCCAUCCAGUGACAAAGGUUCAGCAAUCAGCCUUCUUAUCCUUUUGUGUGCUUCUCCAGUGGUCUGAAGCAAGCUUGCAGGGCCUAGAACUUGCUGGCCAGUAUAAAACAAAUUCAAACUCACAAGCCCAUCCUUCCCUGUUAACAAUAUCUUGCUUGCUUCUCUCCCAGUCAUGAAGACGGUGAACCUCCCUAGGACAAAGCUCUUGAAAACCUUACCAUAUCUGCAAGAAAAAAAUAGAAGUGUUCAUAGUGGAUAAAAUCUCUGGCAUUCUUUAGCACCAAUAUAUUAUGCUGUAACUAAAUCCUUAUUCCACUAGGUGAAGUCGGCAAUAUGACCACAGGCCCGUAUUAAAGACAUCAGCGAGCAUUGGUGGAGGGAGGGGGGACAUACUGCUGCCACAGCCCCCUAAGCUUUUCAAUUUUUAUUUUCUUACAUGUGAUACAUAUGUAUGUGAGCUGUUUGUUGUCGAAAAAAAAUGUAUGUGAGCUGUAAAACCGUUAUAGGCAUUGCCAUAUUCUAUGAUCUUGGCCCCCUAGUCUUAAAUUCCUACCUCCGCCACUAUUGGCGAGUUUUACCUUGGUUGUCGAAAGCCUAGCACAACUUUGCUCCUAUAUCAGAGCUUAGGACCGACUAGCGAAAGCAUAGGCCGAGUUCACCAACAUAUUUUAAUUAUGCAAAAUUCUAGAUUGUAAUGUCUUUUUACCUCUUCUGCCUCGUCUCCAUGAAGCUAAAGAUCCCAGAAGGACUUGAAAAGUUAGAGAUGAAUGAGAAACUCUCACCCACAAUAGGCCAACCAAGGCUGCCAGGGAUGCCUCCCAAUUCUUUAGGGGAACGAGUAAGAUACACCAACAAAAGAGCUGAUAGCACUAACAAGUAAAUAAUCAAUGAGAACAGCAUAUUAAGCAGCUCCA